CCUACGGGAGGCAGCAGUGGGGAAUUUUGGACAAUGGGCGCAAGCCUGAUCCAGCAAUGCCGCGUGAGUGAAGAAGGCCUUCGGGUUGUAAAGCUCUUUUGUCAGGGAAGAAACGGUGAGAGCUAAUAUCUCUUGCUAAUGACGGUACCUGAAGAAUAAGCACCGGCUAACUACGUGCCAGCAGCCGCGGUAAUACGUAGGGUGCAAGCGUUAAUCGGAAUUACUGGGCGUAAAGCGUGCGCAGGCGGUUUUGUAAGUUUGUCGUGAAAGCCCCGGGCUCAACCUGGGAAUUGCGAUGAAGACUGCAAGGCUUGAAUCUGGCAGAGGGGGGUAGAAUUCCACGUGUAGCAGUGAAAUGCGUAGAGAUGUGGAGGAACACCGAUGGCGAAGGCAGCCCCCUGGGUCAAGAUUGACGCUCAUGCACGAAAGCGUGGGGAGCAAACAGGAUUAGAUACCCUGGUAGUCCACGCCCUAAACGAUGUCUACUAGUUGUCGGGUUUUAAUAACUUGGUAACGCAGCUAACGCGUGAAGUAGACCGCCUGGGGAGUACGGUCGCAAGNUUAAAACUUCAAAUUGAAAUUGACCGGNUUGNGAGNGCGAGCGACGACGAGGGAGAGG
rnacentral:rRNA from 1 species